rnacentral:rRNA from 1 species
UGCAGUCGAACGGAAAGGCCUCUGCUUGCAGGGGUACUCGAGUGGCGAACGGGUGAGUAACACGUGGGUGAUCUGCCUUGUACUCUGGGAUAAGCUUGGGAAACUGGGUCUAAUACCGGAUAGGAACUGCCUUUAGUGUGGUGGUUGGAAAGUUUUUUCGGUGCAAGAUGAGCUCGCGGCCUAUCAGCUUGUUGGUGGGGUAAUGGCCUACCAAGGCGUCGACGGGUAGCCGGCCUGAGAGGGUGUACGGCCACAUUGGGACUGAGAUACGGCCCAGACUCCUACGGGAGGCAGCAGUGGGGAAUAUUGCACAAUGGGCGGAAGCCUGAUGCAGCGACGCCGCGUGGGGGAUGACGGCCUUCGGGUUGUAAACUCCUUUCGACAGGGACGAAGCGCAAGUGACGGUACCUGCAGAAAAAGCGCCGGCUAACUACGUGCCAGCAGCCGCGGUAAUACGUAGGGCGCAAGCGUUAUCCGGAAUUAUUGGGCGUAAAGAGCUCGUAGGCGGUUUGUCGCGUCUGCUGUGAAAUCCCGAGGCUCAACCUCGGGCCUGCAGUGGGUACGGGCAGACUAGAGUGCGGUAGGGGAGAUUGGAAUUCCUGGUGUAGCGGUGGAAUGCGCAGAUAUCAGGAGGAACACCGAUGGCGAAGGCAGAUCUCUGGGCCGUAACUGACGCUGAGGAGCGAAAGGGUGGGGAGCAAACAGGCUUAGAUACCCUGGUAGUCCACCCCCGUAAACGUUGGGGAACUAGUUGUGGGGUCCAUUCCACGGAUUCCGUGACGCAGCUAACGCAUUUAAGUUUCCCCGCCUGGGGGAGUACGGCCGCAAGGCUAAAACUCAAAGGAAUUGACGGGGACCCGCACAAGCGGCGGAGCAUGCGGAUUAAUUCGAUGCAACGCGAAGAACCUUACCAAGGCUUGACAUAUACGAGAACGGGCCAGAAAUGGUCAACUCUUUGGACACUCGUAAACAGGUGGUGCAUGGUUGUCGUCAGCUCGUGUCGUGAGAUGUUGGGUUAAGUCCCGCAACGAGCGCAACCCUCGUUCUAUGUUGCCAGCACGUAAUGGUGGGAACUCAUGGGAUACUGCCGGGGUCAACUCGGAGGAAGGUGGGGAUGACGUCAAAUCAUCAUGCCCCUUAUGUCUUGGGCUUCACGCAUGCUACAAUGGCCGGUACAGUGGGCAGCGAUACCGUGAGGUGGAGCGAAUCCCAAAAAGCCGGUCCCAGUUCGGAUUGAGGUCUGCAACUCGACCUCAUGAAGUCGGAGUCGCUAGUAAUCGCAGAUCAGC